rnacentral:rRNA from 1 species
GAUGAACGCUGGCGGCGUGCCUAAUACAUGCCAGUCGAGCGAACAGACGAGGAGCUUGCUCCUCUGACGUUAGCGGCGGACGGGUGAGUAACACGUGGAUAACCUACCUAUAAGACUGGGAUAACUUCGGGAAACCGGAGCUAAUACCGGAUAAUAUAUUGAACCGCAUGGUUCAAUAGUGAAAGACGGUUUUGCUGUCACUUAUAGAUGGAUCCGCGCCGCUUUAGCUAGUUGGUAAGGUAACGGCUUACCAAGGCAACGAUGCGUAGCCGACCUGAGAGGGUGAUCGGCCACACUGGAACUGAGACACGGUCCAGACUCCUACGGGAGGCAGCAGUAGGGAAUCUUCCGCAAUGGGCGAAAGCCUGACGGAGCAACGCCGCGUGAGUGAUGAAGGUCUUCGGAUCGUAAAACUCUGUUAUUAGGGAAGAACAAAUGUGUAAGUAACUAUGCACGUCUUGACGGUACCUAAUCAGAAAGCCACGGCUAACUACG